UACGUAGGGUGCGAGCGUUAAUCGGAAUUACUGGGCGUAAAGAGCUCGUAGGCGGUGUGUCACGUCGUUCGUGAAAACCUGCAGCUUAACUGUGGGCGUGCGGUCGAUACGGGCAUCACUGGAGUUCGGCAGGGGAGACUGGAAUUCCUGGUGUAGCGGUGAAAUGCGCAGAUAUCAGGAGGAACACCGGCGGCGAAGGCGGGUUCCUGGGCCUUAACUGACGCUGAGACACGAAAGCUAGGGGAGCAAACAGG
rnacentral:rRNA from 1 species